GUUGGAGAGAUGGCUCAGUGGUUAAGAGCACUGACUGCACUUCCAGAGGUCCUGAGUUCAAAUCCCAGCACCCACA
rnacentral:tRNA from 1 species